AUUGAACGCUGGCGGCAUGCCUUACACAUGCAAGUCGAACGGCAGCACGGGGCAACCUGGUGGCGAGUGGCGAACGGGUGAGUAAUGCAUCGGAACGUACCUUUCAGUGGGGGAUAACGUAGCGAAAGUUACGCUAAUACCGCAUAUUCUGUGAGCAGGAAAGCAGGGGAUCGCAAGACCUUGCGCUGAUUGAGCGGCCGAUGUCAGAUUAGCUAGUUGGUGGGGUAAAGGAUCACCAAGGCGACGAUCUGUAGCGGGUCUGAGAGGAUGAUCCGCACCACGGGAACGGAGACACGGUCGAGACUCCUACGGGAGGCAGCAGUGGGGAAUGUUGGACAAUGGGGGCAACCCUGAUCCAGCCAUGCCGCGUGAGUGAAGAAGGCCUUCGGGUUGUAAAGCUCUUUCGGCCGGGAAGAAAUCGCACGGGCUAAUACCCUGUGUGGAUGACGGUACCGGAAUAAGAAGCACCGGCUAACUACGUGCCAGCAGCCGCAGUAACAC
rnacentral:rRNA from 1 species